ensembl:snRNA U6 U6 spliceosomal RNA
GUGCUCACUUCGGCAGCACAUAUACAAAAAUUGGACCAACACAGAGAAGAUUAGCAUGGCCCCUGCACAAGAAUGACAUGCAAAUUUGUGAAGCGUUCCAUAUUUUU